rnacentral:lncRNA from 1 species
AACAGAGUGAGACUCCAUCUCAAAAAGAAAAGAAAAUCAUCACCAGGAAGUAAUGAGGAAUGCCAGGUGGGUUUAGGAUGGGAUUGGCAAGUCAAAUCCAUGGGGACAGGAAGCAGAGGAGUGGUUGCCAGAGACUGUGAGGAGGGGAGAAUGUGGAGAAACUGCUUAAUGGGUAUGGGAUUCUCUUCUGGGGUGAUGGUGGCUAACACAUUUUGGAGUAGAUAGAGGUGAUGAUUGUACAUUGUGAAUAUACAAAAUGGCACUGAAUCAUUCACCUUAAAAUGGUUAAUUUUAUAUUGUGAGUUCCACCUCAAUAAACUUUUUUUUUUUUUUUUUUUUUUUAAGAAGGAGUGUUGCUCUGUCGCCAGCCUGGAGUGCAGUAGCUCAAUCUCGGCUCGCUGCAACCUCCACCUCCCAGGUUCAAGUGAUUCCCCUGCCUCAGCCUCCCCGGUAGCUGAGACUACAGGCACCCACACAGGGGGACUGGGCAGGAGCAUUGGUCAGCAGGCUAUGGAGAGACAGCAAGGAAGAGACCACAUGGCGAGAAGGCUGUGGGGACCGGCAGGUAGAAUGACGUUCAGGGAAGCGAGGAGAGUCAGCCACAUCAUCUUCACCUGGGAAACCGAGCAAGGGGGAACAGAGCCUGGGGAGGGGAACCAGUCGGCUUCCCCCAGCAUCAGAGAGGGUCAAGGAGAGUUUGCGCAGAGAGAACCUGCUAUUUUGUUCCAACGUGGUAGAGUGAAGAUACCAUCACAGUGACAAUCUUGAUCUUUUCGCUAGUUCGCAGAUGUGCCAACAUAAGUCCAUUUCUUCUAAAUUUAUCAAAGUGUUGACAGACAGAAAAAUACCAACCGAGCCUGGCAUUCACACAGGACUCACCAGCCUCCACGCUGACAAAAUCAACUUCCGUUUAAAACUACCCCGCCCAGACGGCCAGCUCAGAGAUGGCAUCUGAUUGGACCAUGAAUGAGCACCUGAAACAAGGGCAGCCCAUCUAUAGG